rnacentral:lncRNA from 1 species
UAUAUGGGCACCCGGAGGGUUGUGGACUAAGUUCAAGAUUAUGAAAAAAUUGAUGCAAAAUUUCAAUAAGGGCAAAAGAGAUUUCACUUGGAACACAUAAAAUGCCAAAAUUACUGCUUCAGUGUGACAUAUAUGCAAAGCAUAUAUGACCACAUGGGAUUUUAUUGUUUCUAGGAAAUACUGGGCAUCAAACAUAGUUUUCUUCAAUAAGGUAAUUCUGUAAUAAUGGUGUUACUUAUUUAUUUAUUCAUUCUUUCAUUCAAUAUAGGGUUGAUGUGUUGCACAUUUCCAGGGAGCAUCAGUGAUAUCAUCAUCUAUGUGGACAGUGCCCUUGAAGCUGUACAGGACACAACCUUCACAACCAUAUUCAGUUUGAUGAACAACAUAAACUGGCUAUCCCAUGGCCACACCCUGUCCACUGAGCCCUGGAAGUCAAGAAUCUUUAUCUCUAACAAGCCCCUUUCAACAAGCCAGCCUUUGACCUCUGUGAGCUGCCCCAGGGAGCAAAGAAAACAGAGGUGGGUAACUCAGGAGGCAAGUUAUCUGCCAGUUUCUGUUUCUUGUCUCUAAAGCACCAACUCAGAGUCUGGCCAAAGAAGGCCAGCCCAGGGAGCUGCAGGCCCCAGGAAAAGGAAAAAGAAAGACAAGCUACUGUUGCACAAGUUGGAGAAAGGAAUGGGGAGGGGAGGCAUUUAGGCAGCUGUGCUGGGUGUCAGGAAGGCAGGUGGAGAGACUGCGGUCCUUUGCUUACUACGAAAGUGC